GAUGCCAUCACUCCUGUGAAAAGGGUGACAUCAUUGAGACGGCAAAGAACAGUGGAGGCUGAGGCAGAACCUUCCAAGGGAUGGCAGAUUUGGAGGACUCCCGUUCAAUGUGGUACCAUCACCCUAACUCAAAACAAAUCCAGCAGGACCUGGAACAGUGGCUGGAGGCUCCAGAAGAUUUCAGAAUUGGAGAGCUGCGUGCAGUCUCCGUGGAAAUGGAUUGGAAGCACUGACAUUUCUUCCCCCAGCCUGUAUCUGCUGCUCAGUCUCAACUCUUCUGUCUCCACGACCCGCCCAGCUGUCACUCUUUGCUAAGUUUGCUAAACAAACAUAGGGUGACUGGAAGUCUUUAUCUGCGUGGAGAGUCUGGUGCUGGACAAGCACAAUGGGGAGUGCUCAGGAUCAGGGUGCUGUGAAGAAGACAUGGGUGUGUCUUCCGUGAACCCUAGGAUCUCUGGAUGUACCAGCAGCAACAUAGACUUUUCCUGGCUUGUUCAAGGCUGGUCAAAGCAGCUCCUGCCUCACACUUCUCAGACCCAGCAGGUCAUAUGUCAGUCAUGCUGACAUCAGGGGGACUAGGAAGCCAGGUGCCCACCACAGUCUCCUCACCCUAACCUCAGCCACUUUGAGUGACUAGACUGUGGCUCUGUUUUCCAUUUGCAUUUCAUGGACUGACUUUAUGUACUUGAGCCAAGCUCAUACUUAUCCCCGUGUCCCGUUGACUCCAUAUGCUGUAAGUAACCUUUAACUCUCUGCUGAACUGAAGGACUUGGCACUCCCCUGUCUCACUUCACAGUAAGCAUUCAACACACGCAAUACGCUUACAACCAACAUACUACUUCUCAACCCACGCAAUAUGAUUGCAACCGACAUACUACUUCUUAAACAGGAACUACAGAGAUGGGAACCUUCAACAGAAGGAAAUUUGAGCAAUGACCAUCCUACUCCAUGGCACCCUCUGGCGGUGAGACAACAGCGUGAAGUGAGACCGGAAGAGCCAGAAAACAGAUUCACGGGAACAGAGUAGUUGCCAGGCUUUGUGAUUAUGAUGUGGACCAUCGUGACAGCUCUAGAACAUGGGAAUGCUGAAUGUACGGCUACUAAGGGAAGAUGCUUGCAGAGCUGCUUUAAAUGUGAAUGAAAAAGAAGACUCUUCACCUCAGUCACAGUGGCCAUCAUCAGGAAUACAAAUGGCAGCAAAUGAUGGUGUGGAUGUGGGGAAGACGCCGUAUACACUGCUAGUGGGGAUGCAAACGAGUGCAGGUACUUGAGGAAACAGAAGGGCUCUCAAGACCCCGCUACACCAUGCUUGGCCUUAUACCCCACGGCAGACAUUUGCCGCCAUGUUCUUUUCUGUGCUAUUCACUGUAGCUAAGGAAUAGAAUGGAUCUAGACGUCCAUCCACAGAUGAGUGGACAAGGACAUGUGGCACAUGCACGCUUUGAAAUAUCACCUAGCUGUGAAAUUGGCAGGGAAGUGGAUAGAACUGGAAAAAGGUAUAGUGGGUGAGGUGAUAAAAGCUGUAUAUACAUUUUCUUUCAAACACAAAUUCCAGCUUUUUCCCCCCCUAAUCUUUUCUCCUCUAUCAGUGGAAGCCAUGGAAGUAGAAAGGGGACACAGGAAGGGAGGAGGAUGCAGAUUAUAUGUUAAAUGAAAGUAACGGGGUGAAACAUUGAGAGUGAAAAGCUUAACCAGGAAGGGAUGUGGGAUGUGGGGGAAAUCGGUGGGUAAACGGAAGCUAACCAAAGGAACAGGGCGUGCAAAGCCAAACAGAAGCUACUGUCUCUUUUAAAAGGAGAGGAAGGAUAAAAGAAUACAGGUAAAGUCAAAGAAGAAUGGGAAGUCCUGGUAGGUAAAAGAUUAUGCAGGUUGCGUGGGUAAGAGAGGGGAAAACCACUGGUGUAUGAACUAUAAAACUAAGGAUCUAUGAAAAGGCCUUGCUGAAAAGGUCUCCAAAACAGCACAGGCUUUUACCAUUGACCUUGGUGACAUACCAUAACUACAUGGUAAGACCCUACAGAGGAAGAAAAUACUUGCUUUGGUUGCAGGACUAAAGAAACCAAUCCAAAACCAACCAGGAAACUCCUCUGAUGGUGAGCUUUCAUACAGGCUUCUGGGGAAAAAAAGACAUUAAUGGUCUUAGCAGCUUUAGGACUGCAGACCACCAGAACCUGAAUUUCUUGUAAACAACUUGUUUUCCUCUGCUCUGAGCAGGCUGCAGCUGCUCUGAGCACUGAGCACGAGACCCUGAUGGCAGGGGAGUGAGUUCUG